CUUUCGAGCUCCUCCGCCUCAACAACCCUAACAUCCACCAGGCCCUUGUGUCCAUCUCCAACAAUUCCUCCGUCCGUGCCCUUAUCGUUGAUUGCUUCUGUACAGCGGCGCUUUCUGUGGCUGCUCAACUCAACAUUCCAUUCUACUAUUUCUUCACUUCUGGCGCCUGCUGCCUCGCUUCCUUCCUUUACCUCCCUUUCAUUCACCAGCAGACUACCAAAAGCUUUAAAGACCUCAACACCCAUCUCCAUAUUCCGGGUUUACCGCCGGUACCGGCCUCUGACAUGGCGAAGCCGAUACUUGACAGGGAGGAUAAGGCUUAUGAGUUAUUCGUAAACAUGUCCAUACACUUGCCAAGAUCAGCUGGAAUCAUUGUGAACACCUUUGAAGCGCUGGAACCAAGAGCUGUCAAAACGAUUUUGGAUGGGCUCUGCGUCCUUGACGGUCCAACCUCACCAAUAUUCUGCAUAGGACCAUUAAUUGCAGCUGAUGAUCGAUCCGGUGGUGGUGGUGGUGGAGGGGGAGGUAGCGGCAUUCCUGAGUGUUUGACAUGGCUCGAAUCUCAACCAAAACGCAGCGUUUUGUUUUUGUGUUUUGGGAGCUUGGGUUUGUUCUCAGAAGAACAGUUGAAGGAGAUAGCGGUUGGGUUAGAGAGGAGUGGGCAGAGGUUCUUGUGGGUAGUGCGGAGCCCACCCUCCAAGGACCCGAGCAGGCGUUUUUUAGCACCACCGGAACCGGAUUUGAAUUCCCUUCUCCCAGAUGGGUUUUUGGAUCGAACCAAGGAGAGGGGCCUAAUGGUGAAGUCGUGGGCUCCUCAGGUGGCCGUCUUGAAUCACGCCUCUGUUGGAGGGUUUGUGACUCACUGUGGGUGGAACUCAGUGCUUGAAGCAGUGUGUGCAGGCGUGCCAAUGGUGGCAUGGCCACUAUAUGCCGAGCAAAGGUUUAACAGGGUGGUGCUGGUGGAGGAAAUGAAGCUAGCCUUUCCAAUGGAAGAGUCGGAAGAAGGGUUUGUUACUGCAACUGAGGUUGAGAAGCGAGUUAGAGAGUUGAUGGAGUCGGAGGAAGGAAACACCCUUCGUCUCCGGAUCAUGGCCAUGAAAGAAGCUGCUGAGACUGCAAUGAGCGACGGUGGAUCAUCCCGCACCGCAUUAACAAAACUGGUCAAGUCAUGGAGGCCAGGAUGAGAGAAAGAGAAGGCUGUUCGUCUUAGCUUUCAAUUUCUUCCAAAUCCCGAUUAUUCGGUACCACUUCAACCUAGCAAUUGUUUCAUUAGCAAAAUUUUGCAUUUCUUUUAGCAGUUCAAUUUUAUUGUGUUCUUGGGUAUUAAGUUUGUUAACCUAAUAGAAAAUAAAUAAAUAAAAAAAGACAAAUGAUUAAUAUCCCAUGAAGUGCACCAACAUUAAUAAUCUAAUAAUCAAAAUGAAUGAAAGGAAUUAUAGUGGUGAAGUUCUAAUAAAAAAACUCUUUCAAUUGAGGCUGCAUUUUAUAAAAAUAAAAAAUAAAACUUUAAACAUAAAAGGAUUAUAUAUAAUAGGGUAAAUUCAUCAAUUAUCACAUAAAAAAAUUAAAAAAAAAAAAUUGAAAAAGUGCUACCCCUUCCACCUUUACAAAUUGACCGGACAACUCAAUUCAUAUAAGCUUAUGGGGAACUCAACCCUUGCGAGCUGGUCGAACAACUUGAUCCUUGCGAGCUAUCCGAGCAGCUUGAUCCUUGGCAUUUGAACAAAAUACGAUAAUAUUGAUUCAAACUUCAUAAUCUAACAAGGUUUAAUUCCUUUCUUAACUAUUUCAUUUUUAUCACAAAUUUGGAUGAAUUUAAUUAUUCAAUACAAACACCUUUGGACCAUUUCUUGCAGUUUUCAAUGAUAAUCCAUAAAAACUUAGAUAUCAUGCUUGUAAAGUCAUGAACACGGAAGCAAAAAUAUCAUCUAUUAUUAGCAGAUAAAGUCCUAGGAGGGCCACACAUUCUUGAAAUCCAUACGUUUUUCCAAUGGAUACACCCUUCAGUGUACAGAUUUUUUUUUUGCAUGCGUGAAUAAAUGACAAUCCCGUUGUCACUUUGUUUUGAUCUAACAAUUUCAAAAUAUAUAUAUGUUCCUUUCUUUUACAUGUCAUUUUCCUUCUACCUUCUAAAAGUUGUCUUCUAGAGUCUCACUUAAAGUUGUUUUGGACUCUAUCGUGUGAUUGUUACAGCCAAUAUCUAGACAUUGAACAUCUUGUGAUUGAUUCUUCUCAAGUAUUCAUAUAAUAAAUACAAUUAGAAAUAUUAAUUCCCCCCUUUUCCAAUGUUGGGAUGGUACUCAUCUUUCACACCAUUAUUAGAACUGUCCCACCUUGAAGGUUUAUUAAAAAUAAAGCUUCCUAUUUGUGAUUAUCUUUAUUGAAAAUAUUAGAGUGACACCCCUAACCCAAGUAAUUAAGGCUAAGGGGACAAUGGUCAUUUCAUAGAUGGGCCCAAAGGUCUAACAUGUGAAUAAUGUCAGAAAUGUGAUAUAGUCAUUCAUUAAUGUUGGCCGGUUGCUUGUAACAUAUCAAAAUAGUAAUCAAAGAUUAUUAAAUCAACUUUGAAAAUGAAACAAAGUCCCACAUGCACGAGUAUUUAAAACAUUUUUCAAUUAGAUUUAAUUGAAAUAAAGUAAACUAACUAGCUAGUGGUAAAUAAUGGAGCAAAUUUUUUUUUUUGGUUUUUGCCUAUGAUGAGACGAGUUUGGAAGAAGUAUAAGUAGGUUAAGGAUGUGUUUGAGAUUUUUUUGAAACUUAAGACGGGUUGGACUAUUGCUUUGUCCCUCGCCACCAUAUCCCGAUUAUAUAUAGUUAUAAAAAUAAUUUAAUUUAAUUUAUUUUUUCAUUUUCCCCUUUUGUAACACAUAAAAUUUGCCAUAUUUUUUUGUUAAAAUUAAAAAAAAAAUUAUUUAUAAUUUUUUUUUAUAUAAUUAAAGUUUUUCAAAAAAUUAAAUUUUAAAAAUAAUAUAUAUAUAUAUAUAUAUAUAUAUAUGUGGUUUGAAAUUUCAUUGACUAUUUCCCUUAUUCCGAAUAAGAAAAAAGUGACUAAAAUUAAUAAAUGAAAAUAAUAUAAAAGAUAUUUAAUGAAAUUUCAAAUUUAUAAGAAUUACAUAUAUUUAAUCAAAAUUUCAAAGGAGAUGAAUAAAAUUAACUCAAUUAGAAAUCAAUUACUUAUAUCUAUUUACUUUAUUAUCUAAUUCAUUAAUCACCACUUAUGAAUAUAAUCAUCACUUAUAAUUACCAAAAUAUUAUGGUACUUAACUUCAUACCAAGGCCCAACAAAGUAAGGGGAACAUAAGUACCUAUAAUCCCUUAUGAAUUUCUAAUAGUAUAUAUUCUAGAGGUCCAAAAUUCCAACCAAAUUUAAUAGCAUUCAAUUUCCAUCUUAGAUUUUGGCAAGGCUUACAUCAAGAUUAAAACCAACAUCCAAUAUUUUUGAAUCAUGCAUUUUUUUAAAAAGAUUUAAGGCGUAUUUUUUAUCAUAAUUUUAGAAAGUAUUUCUAACAUUUUUAAUACUUAAAAAAUAAAAUUUUAUUUUCUAAAAUCACUAUCAAAUACACUUUUAAUUUAUGUUAUCACACAUAUCUCGGGUUAGGAUAGUAAUAAGCCCUGAUUUCAAAUUACCUCUUCGAGGGGCAUGGUUAUUUUUCAUUUUUCCAACUUUACCAUAUGACCAUACUAGUGUUUGAACCUCCUCUUCCACCAAAAAUUUAUUAGGGUAGUUGCCUUGUUCCUAUCGCUGCUUUAUAUUUUCGUCCUUUUAUGAUAGGUUUAACCUCCUCAAAAGUUUGUUCAAUCAUUUUCACAUGCUUCAAGCUAUCAAGCACUUGCGUUUUGUAUGGCAGCAGAAACAUGUUCACGUUUUGCAGGCAAAGUUCUUAAAACUUGCUUAUCAACAGUUUCUCUUCUUGAAUUGUGUGUCCACAACUUCAUAUUAACAAAAUCUCCAUAAAUUUUGAAGUUCUAUUGAAAUUAUUUUAUCACUUCUCAUGGGAUUCUUAAUUUUUAUAAUACUUGCUAUGCAACUUUAGCUUUCUAAUCCCCAAAAAAUUCUAGGAAGACUAACUUAAUUUGCUUAGCCUGUUGAAUAUAUAUACAAGUAUAAAGAGACAUAACAAGAGCAACUUUGCUUAUGCUUUGUUAAACAUAUAAUAAGCGUAAUAAAGAGAGACAAGAUUUUCUUGAGCAAGAAUCACAAGGCUUGCAAUGAAGAAGUCCAUCUUUUGACACUUGGUUUUCACAAGAUACCAAUGGGCCUUUGGUGUACACUUAAGGUGUCUCUCAACGACUCACGAUUACUUACUACUUACAGUUGGCCUAUAAUAAAUAUAUUUUCGAAAAGAGUAGAUAUAGAUUUAAUGAACAUUAGAUGAUAUUAAAAACUUGUGGAAUAAUAUUUCCAUGUGAUUAUCAAGUGUUAGGUACAUGAUAAAUAAGUUUUAAGAAGCCUGUUUUGGCAUUAAUCUUAUUAAUUUAAGAACUUAUUUGACAGUAAUUUUAAAAAAUAUUUUUUAACAUUUUUAACAAUUAAAUUUUUUUAAUAAUUCAAGUAUUAGAAAUGCUAAAAAUUAUUUUCUAAAUUUACUAUCAAAUGUGCUCUACAUUUGUUAUUAUGAUUAAGUACUAGUGGUUGUAAGUACAUAGUUAACUAUCCAUAUGUUAGUCCGAUCUACACUAAUUAAAGAGAAUCUAUAUGUUUUUUGAUUUGAAAGUUUAAAAUAAAAUAGAAAAUAAGAAUAAUUUAAUUAAAUUUUUAUUCACUUUCAAGAAAAAAAAAUAGUAUUUAUAUAUGUGAUUAAAAGGUAAUACUCUAAUAUUACUUUUGACUUAAAAAUGUAUUAAAUAAAAAAUAUUUUUAAUCGAAUGAUAUGAAUCGAGAUAUAGAAAAAUGAGUUCUCAUUCUACUUAUAUUUCUAAAUAAGACCAUGAAAACAUAUUUUUUCUAUCUUAAAUAGAAAAUAAGCGAAUUAUAAUUUUAAUAAACCAAUCUUUCUUUUAGGGUUCUAGGAUAUUUUGACGUAUGAUUAGGGAGAUAUUUUGUGUUUAAAUUAGGGGAGUUUAAACCAUGUUUUUAAAGUAAGGUUUUACUUUAAAAACAAAACAAAAAUCCCCCCCAAAAAAAAAUCAUGUUUGUCCAUCAAACAUUAUAUAUGAUUUUUAAUUUUUCUUUAAAAAACAUCUUUUAAAUUAUAAAUACUAUUAAAAAGACUCUAAAUUACGUGAGAUAUAGGCCAUUUGAAAGCGACAAGAAAAAAAAAACAAAAAACAAAAAACAAAAACCAAAUAAUAAUAAUGUUUGUCCAUAAAACAUUAUAUACGAUUUUUCGCCUUUUUAAGAAUAUUCUCUACAUUUUAUCAAAUGUUUAUUUAAUUUUUUUUAUAAAAAAUAUCUUUUAAAGUAGAUUUUCUUUUUUUUUUUAAAAAAAAAAAAACUAUUAAAAAGACUUUAAGUUGCAUCAGACGUUUAAAAUGAAGUUAGGUUGUUUGAAAGAGAAAAAUAAAACAAAAAAUCAAAAAGCAAAAGACAAAAAAUAAUAAUAAUAAUAAUGUUUGCCCAUAAAACAUUAUCUAUGAUUUUUCGAUUUUUUAAGAAUGUUCUUUACAUUUUAUCAAAUGUCUAAUUUUUAUUUUUUUAAAUUAGAAAUACUUUUAAAAAAAACACAGUUAAAAAUCUUCUAAAUUGUGUUAGACAUUUGAAACAAAGGCAGACAGUUUGAAAAAGACAAAGAAACAAAACAAAAACCGUGUUUGUGCAUAAAACAUUAUAUAUAAUUUUUCAAUUUUUUUAGAAUGUUCUCUACAUUUUAUCAAAUGUUUUUUUUUAAACAUCUUUUAAAUUAGAAAUACUUUAAAAAAAAAAAUACUAUUAAGAAGACUUUAAGUUGCUUUAGAAAUUUAAAAUGAAGAUAGGUUGUUUGAAAGAGAGAAAAAAAACAAAACAAAACAAAAAGCAAUAAUAAUAAUAAUAAUAAUAAUAAUAAUAAUGUUUGCCCAUAAAACAAUAUAUAUGAUUUUUCAAAUUUUUAAGAAUGUUUUCUACAUUUCGUCAAAUGUCUAAUUUUUUUUUUAUAAAAAAAACGUAUUUUAAAUUACAAAUACUUUAAAAAAAAUACUAUUAAAAAGAGUUUAAAUUGUGUUAGACAUUUGGAACAAAGGCACACCGGUUGAAAGAGACAACAAAACAAAACAUAAGACUAUGUUUGGUUCCCGGAAAGUACAAAGGAAAGAAAAAAAAUGCUAAGGAAAAUGAUUUUCUCAUGUUUGGUUGUCCUAUGAAAAAUAUCAAAGAAAAUCAAAUAUAAUUAAAACUAAUUAAAAACUUAUAUAUUUUUAAAUUAUUUAAUCUUUAUAUUGAUGAGUUAAAAUAAAUAAAAUGAGUUUGAAGUAACAAAAAAAAUAAUUUAUCAACUUUUAAUAUAUUUUUUUUAUUUUUCUUCACUUUUUCUUUCCUUCUACUUUUCCUUUGUAUUUUCUUUCCCUCGUAUUUUCCCUCAAAUUUUCCGGGAACCAAACAUAGCCUAAAGAAAACAAAAAUGAUGUUUGUCCAUAAAACAUUAUAUAUGAUUUUAAAAUCUUUUAAAAAUGUUCUCAACGUUUUAUCAAAUGUGUAUUUUCUUUUUUAAAAAACAUCUUUUAAAUUAGAAAUGCAUUUAAAAAAAAAAACUAUUAAAAAGACUUUAAGUUGCAUUGUACAUUUGAAAUGAAGGUAGGUUGUUUGAAAGAGAAAAAAACCAAGAAAGAAAAAAAAACCAAAAGAAAAAACAAAAAGCAAAAAAUAAAAAAAAAUAAAAUGUGUUUGUACAUAAAACAUUAUAUAUUAUUUUUCAAUUUUUAAGAAUGUUUUCUACAUUUGAUAAAAUGUCAACUUUUUUUUAAAUAUGUUUUAAAUUAUAAAUACUUUUAAAAAAAAUUAUUAAAAAGGCCCUAAGAAUGUGUUUAAAUAAUGUUUUUUGUGAAGUGUUUUUAAUAAAAAUAUAUUUUUUCAAGAACCAUUAUAAAUGGUUUUCCAACUUGUAAAAAGUGUUUUCUAAAUAUUUCAACUAAAACAUUUUUUUAAAACAUAGAAAAACGACCUCUCAAAAUUCCUUCGUAAUUAUUGGAAGAAGCCUAUAGGAUCCGAAAUUGUCCAUGUCGUCCUCCAUUUUGCUUGGGUUGCACAUGGUUUGCUCUGCAUCUUUUCUUAUGCAUUCCAAGCAUCCAUCGAUUGACCAUUAGAUGGGAAAUAAUUGAAGUCUAAAACUACCCGUCUUCCUUUUCCACCAUCCUCUCUCAAACCUGUCCUACCAUUCUCUUUCACAGUGGUGCUAACAGUUGAAAUCUCAACCUUAAAUCAUUAUAUAUUUUUUGAUGAUUGACUUCUCCCCCUUGUCCUUUUGCUUUCUGCACUAUUUAACAAUGAAGAGACUGAUCCUUAAACAGUUAAACCUCUCUCCCUCUCAGUCUAAGCAAUGGAGAGUGUUGUCUUGUAUCCAUCACCAGGGAUGGGUCACCUCAUCUCAAUGGUGGAGCUUGGAAAGCUUAUACUGAAACACCAUCCUUCAUUCUCCAUCACCAUAUUCAUUGUCACUCCACCUUACAACACUGGCUCUACUGCUCCUUAUCUCGCCCGCGUCUCCUCCACCAUUCCUUCCUUCACUUUCCACCACCUCCCCACCAUUUCUCUCCCUCUCGAUUCUUUUUCCUCUCCCAACCAUGAAACCCUUGCUUUCGAGCUCCUCCGCCUCAACAACCCUAACGUCCACCAGGCCCUUGUGUCCAUCUCCAACAAUUCCUCCGUCCGUGCCCUAAUCGUUGAUUCCUUCUGUACAACCGCGCUUUCUGUGGCUGCUCAACUCAACAUUCCAUGCUACUAUUUCUUCACUUCUGGCGCCUGCUGCCUCGCUUCCUACCUUUACCUCCCUUUCAUUCACCAGCAGACUACCAAAAGCUUUAAAGACCUCAACACCCAUCUGCAUAUUCCGGGUUUACCGCCGGUACCGGCCUCUGACAUGGCGAAACCGAUACUUGACAGAGAGGAUAAGGCUUAUGAGUUCUUCCUAAACAUGUUCAUACACUUGCCAAGAUCAGCUGGAAUCAUUGUGAACACCUUUGAAGC
rnacentral:lncRNA from 1 species